GAUGAACGCUGGCGGCGUGCCUAAUACAUGCAAGUCGAGCGAACAGACGAGGAGCUUGCUCCUCUGACGUUAGCGGCGGACGGGUGAGUAACACGUGGAUAACCUACCUAUAAGACUGGGAUAACUUCGGGAAACCGGAGCUAAUACCGGAUAAUAUAUUGAACCGCAUGGUUCAAUAGUGAAAGACGGUUUUGCUGUCACUUAUAGAUGGAUCCGCGCCGCAUUAGCUAGUUGGUAAGGUAACGGCUUACCAAGGCAACGAUGCGUAGCCGACCUGAGAGGGUGAUCGGCCACACUGGAACUGAGACACGGUCCAGACUCCUACGGGAGGCAGCAGUGGGGAAUCUUCCGCAAUGGGCGAAAGCUUGACGGAGCAACGCCGCGUGAGUGAUGAAGGUCUUCGGAUCGUAAAACUCUGUUAUUAGGGAAGAACAAAUGUGUAAGUAACUAUGCACGUCUUGACGGUACCUAAUCAGAAAGCCACGGCUAACUGCGUG
rnacentral:rRNA from 1 species